rnacentral:rRNA from 1 species
GAUGAACGCUGGCGGCGUGCCUAACACAUGCAAGUCGAACGUGAGGGGGUAGCAAUAUCCUUGAAAGUGGCGCACGGGUGAGUAAUACGUAGGUGACCUGCCCUGGAGUGGGGGAUAACAGCUAGAAAUGGCUGCUAAUACCGCAUAGUGCCAAGACACUGGGAAGUGACUUGGUAAAAACUCUGGUGCUUCAGGAGGGGCCUGCGGCCGAUUAGCUAGUUGGCAGGGUAAGAGCCCACCAAGGCAGUGAUCGGUAGCUGGUCUGAGAGGACGAUCAGCCACACGGGAACUGAGACACGGUCCCGACUCCUACGGGGGGCAGCAGUGAGGAAUAUUGGGCAAUGGGCGGAAGCCUGACCCAGCAACGCCGCGUGGAGGAAGACGGCCUUCGGGUUGUAAACUCCUUUUACGGGGGAAGAGGAAGGACGGUACCCCGAGAAUAAGUCACGGCUAACUACGUGCCAGCCGCCGCAGUAACAC